rnacentral:rRNA from 1 species
AAACUAACAGAUUUACUUCGGUAAUGACGUUAGGAAAGCGAGCGGCGGAUGGGUGAGUAACACGUGGGGAACCUGCCCCAUAGUCUGGGAUACCACUUGGAAACAGGUGCUAAUACCGGAUAAGAAAGCAGAUCGCAUGAUCAGCUUUUAAAAGGCGGCGUAAGCUGUCGCUAUGGGAUGGCCCCGCGGUGCAUUAGCUAGUUGGUAAGGUAAAGGCUUACCAAGGCGAUGAUGCAUAGCCGAGUUGAGAGACUGAUCGGCCACAUUGGGACUGAGACACGGCCCAAACUCCUACGGGAGGCAGCAGUAGGGAAUCUUCCACAAUGGACGCGAGUCUGAUGGAGCAACGCCGCGUGAGUGAAGAAGGUUUUCGGAUCGUAAAGCUCUGUUGUUGGUGAA